UUGGUUCAUACAGCUGUCUGUCAAUAUUUUUUUGACGUCUCAUUGGUUCAAGGCUAGAAAGGCGGACACGUCUAGAUCUGCAUUCCCAUUGGGUCCUCUGACUGUCAAUCACUAAUCAUUGCUUUCCUAUUGGCUGGCGCUUGGCGGGAGCGGGAGGUUCGCUCUGAGGCGCCUCUGGGGUCUCCCCGGUGCCUCCCUCGGUCCCCGACCCCAAUUUCCGACCUCAAUCCCGGUCCCAGUUCUAAGUCCCGGUCCGAGUCCUUGGUCCCGGUCCCAAUCCCGUUCCUGGUCCCGGUCCCAAUCCCGAUCCCCGAUCCACAUGGCGCCCCCCACUCAGCCCCCGAUGGCCUCCGCUCGUACGGCAUGUGUACUUCCGUGUGUGCCCGUAAUGCCAACCAAUCAGCGAGCUAAACCCGCCUUAGGGGCUGAAGUCUGCCCUUUAAUUGGUUCAUACAGCUGUCUGUCAAUAUUCUAUUGAGGUCUCAUUGGUUCAAGGCUAGAAGGGCCGGCACGUCUAGAUCUGCAUUCCCAUUGGCUCCUCCGACUGUCAAUCACUAAUCAUUGCUUUCCUAUUGGCUGGCGCUUGGCGGGAGCGGGAGGUUCGCUCUGAGGCGCCUCUGGGGUCUCCCCGGUGGCUCCCUCGGUCCCCGACCCCAAUUCCCGGUCCCCGACCCCAAAUCCCGCUCCCGAUCCCCGUCCCGAUCCCGCUCCCGCGGCCAUGGAGCGGCAGCAGGAGCUGAAGGUGCUGCUGAAGCGCUGGGAAGCGGAAUUCCUGCGGGAGCGGCGCCGCAAACCCAGCCAGGCCGACAUCGAGGAGGCGCCGGAGGAGACGCAGAGGCUGUACCGCGAGUACCGGGAGCUGAAGCGCGGCCGGGGCGGAGCUGCGGGGACGGGAGCGGAGCACGGACACACGGAGGGGCAGG